rnacentral:rRNA from 1 species
AUUGAACGCUGGCGGCAUGCCUUACACAUGCAAGUCGAACGGUAACAGGUCUCCGGAUGCUGACGAGUGGCGAACGGGUGAGUAAUACAUCGGAACGUGCCUAGUAGUGGGGGAUAACUACUCGAAAGAGUGGCUAAUACCGCAUGAGAUCUACGGAUGAAAGCAGGGGAUCGCAAGACCUUGUGCUACUAGAGCGGCCGAUGGCAGAUUAGGUAGUUGGUGGGAUAAAAGCUUACCAAGCCGACGAUCUGUAGCUGGUCUGAGAGGACGAUCAGCCACACUGGGACUGAGACACGGCCCAGACUCCUACGGGAGGCAGCAGUGGGGAAGUUUGGACAAUGGGCGAAAGCCUGAUCCAGCAAUGCCGCGUGCAGGAUGAAGGCCUUCGGGUUGUAAACUGCUUUUGUACGGAACGAAAAGCCCUGGGUUAAUACCCUGGGGUCAUGACGGUACCGUAAGAAUAAGCACCGGCUAACUACGUGCCAGCCGCCGCGGUAA